GGCACUUCCUAAUCCCUUCCCAGUAGGUCAGAGUGUAUCAGCCAUCAAAAUAAGCAUUACAGAGCUGCUUCUUAUGCCAGACUGCCUUGUAAGAUGAUUGAAGACCAAUGGAAGGCCCAUGCCCCAAGAUAGAUGGAUGCCUCAGUCCUGAAACCAGCAGAAGCCCUGAGAGCCGAGAUGUAUAGAAGGCUACCUGAGUUGGAUGGACGACCCAACCAAGUUGGGAUGGAAGGCUUUAGUUCUGAGUUAUACACAAGGCCCAAGACGUGGGAUGGGAAACUGAAGAUCUUGGAGCCAGGACAUGUGGAUAACCUGAGAAUUGAGAUGUAAAACACAAGACCCAAGACCUGAGAUGAAAAGCCCAAGGUCUUUAGUUUGACCUGUAUCCAAGAAUGGACAUCCUCAGAUCCAGGAUGCAAGGCCCUAGAUGGACAGAAGGCCCAAGAGAGACAAAACUCAAGAUUAAAGAAGCCCUAGGCUGAGGAGAAGAAGAAAAUAUCAGGCAUUUGGGAAAAAAAAGUGCCAGGAUCUCUAGAGAAGGUGUGAACAGAUGUUCCAGGCCACUGAAAAGCCUUAGACAAGAAAUAUAAAGAUGUAUCAACAUGCUGAGAAGCACCAUCCAGCAACACCUUAACUUCUUUGAUCUGGGUGAGCGGGAUUCCUAAGGUUUGAGAUUCCUAGUUGAUGGUUUACAGAAAGGAUGAUUGGGUUUGGGGCAGAGUGAGGCCCCAAAGGGACAGCCUGAACUCCCUGCUCAUAGUAGUGGCCAAAUAAUUUGGACUUCAUCAGUGCUAUGGAUUCCUCGGUUUAAUACUAACCAUGUCUAGGCCUAAAGGAGAGUAAAGUUGGGUUUGCUUGUAGCAGGUUUACUAUUUUUUAAUUUUUUCCCCUUUUUAUGUGGGAAGAUGGUUUAAAUGAUUGCUUAUGUGUAUGAAAACACUUUGCAGACUGUGAAACACAGGAGAAAAGCAAGGUGUUUUCAUUAUAAUUUAUUGACAGCUAGGCACAGUUAAUAUUUCAGAGUGUACUGUAAGCAGUAAAGCAUUAAUUAUAGCAAACUUUCUGUGAGGGGUGAAAUAGUAAACGUUUUAGUUUUGGUGGGCUGUAUAGUCUAUUGCACAUUCUUUUUUUUCCUUACAACCCUUUAACAUUGUUAAAACCAUUCCUAGUUUAUAGGGCAAGUGAGAUUUGGCCUGCUGGCCAGUUUAACCACCAUCUGAUAUAAAUGCCAGGGACUAUGUGCUGAAUACUACUAAUUUCCUUCUCUGUGCCUCUUUCUGUGCUAGGCAGUAUGGAUGCACUGAUUAUUUGUGAUGACAUCCCAGCAAAGGAGAAACAUGUGCAUAUACUUUCUAAACUGUGAAGCACUUAAAAACUAAUGGGUUUCAGUGUUUUGAGUGAUUGUUGAUUACUUAUUUUAUGUAUUCAAGUGUGCUAGGCACAUGGAUACAAAGAUUAAAAGAAGCAAAAAUUUAAAAGUGCAUUACUUCAAGUAUGUAGUGUUUAUGCAGAUACAAGUGUUGGAUAAAUGAAUAAUUUAUAUAUUAUUGGCCAACCAUGUUUCUGCUGUUAUGGCAAUUUUGAGUAAAAUAAGAAUUACAGUAAUCCAGGUAGCAGAAAAGAGAAACUAUAACAUAUACUGUAUACUGUAAACAGUACCAUGCCAGGUACCAUGCUAGGUGGUAUUGUUGUCAUUACAGUAUUAAAAUUUUAAGAAAGGAAAUUAUAUUGAAGUGUUUUGUAAACUAAAGCACUAUCCAAAUACCAGUGGAUUACGUAUUUAUAAAUGAAUAAAUAUUAAUCACCUCAGUAUCAGCCAGUUUUGGGUACUGUGGAAUCCAAGAUAAAUACUUAUCCCAAAUAAUAAGAGGAAGAUCAAUGCCCUUAUCAUUUAUAUGUAAGGAAUUACAUGUUUGUUUAAUUUAUCAAACAAGAGUUCCUGGGGAUGCCUAAUUCAACUAUUACCAGCAUGUUGUCCGAGGUAUUAGAGAAAAGGGUAAUGAAUGUGAGUGCUUUUUCGAAACUUUGCAGUGCUACAUAAAUGUAAGAUGUUAACGUGCUUUCUGUAUGAAUAAAGUUUUCUCUGAGCUAGGCUUGUUUCUACAAAUUGUUCUGGGCUCACAGAAGAGAAAGAUAAGUUUAGUAUACAAGAAAUUUUUCUGUAACAUGUAAACCACUACCCAAAGAUACAUAAGGGUAUUUGCCAAAUAAAUAUUAACAGUACGUAUCAGGCACUGGAGAUGAAAUGAUUUCUCAUUGCGUGCUUGACCCAUGAUGAGAAAGGUAUUGUUACUAGUUACACAAAUUUAGGGUUUAUAUACUUGUUAAAUGAAUGAAUCAGUAUUGCCUACUGUAUGAACUCACAGACACUGAAGAGAUACACAGUUGACUGACUAUUGUUCACAGCUGAGAAUAAGGUAAUACAUGUUUUAGUAUUUUGUGAACUAUAAAGCAGCAUAUAAAUGUAACUACUGGUGUUAUUUGGUGCUUGUAUAAAAUUGCACCAUUGUACUCUAUGCAGGAGGUAAUAAAAAGGGUUUGAGGAAAGAUUGAUAACUAAUUUAACCCUGAAUAUAAUACAUAAAGGACUAAGUAAGUGAUGAACUACAAGAACAGGGGGUGAUUGUUUGCCAGCUUCUUGGUAGGCAUUGGGGAUGUGAAGAUAAAUGAUCUUGAUCGUGUACUGAGUAGCAGAAAACAGUAUGUGUAAAAUUGGCUUAUAAGUUGUAAACUGCUAUACAUAAGGUAUCUGCUGAAUGAAUAUUGAUUAUUUUUAUGUCUUAUCUUCAGAGAUAGUGACUGUGGUACAAAAAUUCAUUAUUAUUUAACCUGCAAUAGAGAUCUGUGUAAAUUUACAGGGCCUAGUGUUUUACACAGAUAAAAAUAAUUCACUGUCAACUUAGUGAAUGAAUAGUGAUUAUUGUCUAUGAGGCUCAGAACUGUGAUUGCCUAUGAUUAUGUGGUGCUCACAGGAAAUCAUAAAAUAAUAGGUUGUGAGAUCCAGACUGAAAGUCACUUGACCACUACUAAGCUCAUUCAAUGAUGAGAACAUGGGGGGAAAACAAAGGAAUUGGAUUUCUUUGAGUCAGUUAACAAUUUGUAGGAGUGUGCUAAAUGCUGAACUAACUAGAGACAUAAAAUUCAGUCCUGAAAGCAACUUUCUCCAUGGCCUUACUUAAGAGAUGGGGAAAAAUGUUUAUAAAGCAAGGGAUUGUGGUUUUCCAGUUUCUUAAAUGCUGAGUGCUGAAGAUAGAGGAGAAAUAAAUCCAACCCUGGACUAACUUAAGAGACUGUAAAGGAAUAAAAAUAAAUGGCUGAGGUUUGUUUUUUUGAUUCAUUUGAUGAACAUUUAAAUGUUUUGUGGAAAAUACUUUUCUAGGUCCUAAAAAUAGAGAGGUGAAAUGGGCCUGGUCUAAAGGGAAGAUCACUGAUCACAGCUGAAGAUAGGAAAAAUCUUUGGUUUAUUUAUACAGUAAACAUUUGAAUGUCAGUUCUCCACAAGGUACUAUGCUGGAGAAGUUAGUUAAGUAGGUAUGGUCAUUGACUUGCCUUGGAGAUUAAAAAAUGUCAGCAAAAAGGCAAGGUUCUUUAAAUACAAAAUGAAGAUUUUCUAGUUCCAGGGAGCCUGACAGUCACUUGCUGUUUGUUAUUGGCCUAGUUUGAAGCCAGAUGACCAAUAAAAGGUCUCAAAGGCUUAAGGUUUGUCCUUUAAUUAACAUUCUGCUUCUAUUAAAUGGUUUAAGAUGGAAGCAUCUGGUUGUAGAGGUAUUUGCUCAUUGACCUGGCUUAGAGUCAGAAGGACACUUGAGCACUAAAGUGGAUUCGUUCUACAUUGACCAUAUUUAGUAAAACUUUAUUGGUUAAACCUAAAUGAAAUGCCAUUCUUAAAUGCUGUAGAGAAUGAGAUGAUUUUAAAACACCUAGACCAAAAUGCACUUAGUUUAUGGUAGAAACAAAUUUAAAAAGAAACUGUGGUGGUUCUCUUUUAGUUGAAAAAAAAAAAAAUGAGCAGCUGCCGUAUGUAAGACACUGAGUGCCUUUUUUCCAUUCAUACAUAUGUUAAUGAAGGUGAUGUUAAGUGAAAUAGAUCCAGUUCAAAAAGCAUUUAGUUUGACUUUGAGAUGCAGUUAAAACAAUAAGAAGUGGAGCGACAUUCUUCUCACCAAAUAAAAGUGUUUUGUCAAGGUAUUGUGUUAAGUCCUAGGGAAAAAAAAAUUGAAAGAGAUCUUGAUUGAAAGACAGUUGGCUUGGAGACUAGAAUAUAAGGAGGAGGUUCAUUUAUUUUUUCAUUUUUUCAUUCAUAGUACAAGUAUCUUGGGGUGCCUGUUGGCUAUGAGGCCUUUUACUAGGUUCUCACUUGGCCCCAGAGACAUGAAAAAAUGCAUGCCUUCCUGGAGAAUUUCUAUACCUUUCCUUUUGCCUUAUUUUCAGGUGAGGUGUGUGGUUUAAUAUCUAAUAAAUAUUGCAUGGUUUAAUUCCAAAUCCAUAGCUCUUCUCCCACCUCUGGCCACUACGAUAAGCAGGUAGCUGGGUUUUCUAUUGAGCUUGCUCUUAAAGUUGCAGAAAUUGUCUCUAUUUAGACAUUUCAUUUUUUCUAGCUCAUCCCUCAUGAAAAUUGGCUGUAGCCACUGUUAAACAGAAGGAGGGAUGACUAACCAGUUCCCAAACUCCAGUUUCAUUGGGUCCCCCUUUGGAGAACAAACACCCCAUGCUCAGGCCACAGUUGAUUUUGAGAUGCAUUUACCAGUUUUGUCUAUUUUCAAUUCAAUUCUCUUUCCCAGUUUACAUAUAUAUAUUGCCUAAAUAAAUCUCUUGCAGGAAUAGUUCUCAGAUAACAUCAUGACAAAACUGGAGAUAGAGACAUGAUUUGUCUUCUGCAACAGCUUCUCUACUUACACUAUAGAAAUGUCUUCCUCAUGAUCAAAACCUGCUCAAGAAAGGACUUGUUUCAGUAGCAUAAUGUUGAUGGAUGAAAACCGCUUUAAAAAAUGUUAUCCUGCUGGCUUAAGUUUUAAGAAUAAUAAAAUGAAAAUUGGAAAUAUUGGCAAAAAAAAAAAAAAAAAAAAAAAAACCCACAAAGAAACAAACCUUUAAAUAUAGGUCCAACUGGGCUUUGACCUUUUCUAUUUUUAAAUCACUCGCAGAGGGUGGGAUAGGAGGAAGAGUGACAGAAAAGGUCAAACCUGCUUUCUGUGGGCAGCCAGCCUUUGUUCUCGGUUAGACUUAGGAGAGUUUACUAACUAGUCUAAAACGUGGAGUUGCUUCUUCUUAAUUUAAUGUAGUUCCAAUAAUUUUUGAUCAUUGCUAAACAAAAUCUUUGAAUGGUUAUCAACUAAGCCUUUGGCUAGAUAGGAAUGGAAUGUAUUAAUUGAAUCCAUGUGACCCCUCCAUUGUAAGGUUAUCUUAAAAUUGAAAUCCAAAUUAACUGCAAAAAAGAGAACUUUAUUGUUCGUUGUAAUUCUUCGACUCAAAGCUUGUAAACUGUAGUUUAUAUACCAUGCUGACAAUGAUAUGCACAAAAGGAGAGGGAAAUAGAGGAAUGGCAAAGGACAAAACUGAUGGAAGAAGCAAGGUUAAAAGGAUUUGGGGAUGAUGUUUCUAGCAUUUGUUUUGUACAUUUUUAGUUAGGCAUCAGAUACAGCUGAAAUACUAAUGUCUGGCUUUUAAUGUGUAGUAACAGCCAGGCUUGGUAAUUCCUCCUUUUCAGGUGGGGUUGGUAGGGGGGCAUUAUUGGAAAGUGGAAAGGAGAAAAUAACUAAAAGCCUUCCUUUCUCAGUUUCUGACACCAUAAGACUACCACUACUGAUAAGAAUAAGAGGACAUGCUAUCUGUUUUGUGGCUUAAAUGAUGUUAUGAACAAAUCCAGUUUUAAAGGAAAUGACAUUGCCUCUACCCUUCUACCUCAAAGGGAAGAUAUACCAAAAUGCUAUGAUAAGUGGAAGACACACUUUGACUCAUCUGAUAAAAAAAUGCAGAAUCUUUGUUGGUUCAUGAAUGAGUUGAACAUUGAAAAAUGUUGCUCGGCAUGGGUGACUACCAAAAACCACUUUGAACUUAGUAGCUUUUUUAUAGCUUUAAUUUUCUGGUUAACUAAAGGGCAAGUAUUUGUGUGUUCCUAAAACUCAACCAGAGGUCUUAAACUCGGCUCAAAUAAGCUAUUUUGCUUCUUUUGCCCAAGUUACUGCAACCCUUAUCUACAUGUCACAACUGAAAUAAACUUGGGACUUUGUUCUGUAAAAUAAAAUGUACUGUUUUGAAAACUU